rnacentral:lncRNA from 1 species
AUGCCAUCAAGAAACCAUCUAGAUAAAAUUGGGAGGAGGAAGAAAAAGAAAUGGACAGAGGAAGCCAUGGAACGUGCGCUGACUGAGGUGAAGUCAGGACGCUGCACAGUGCGGCAGGCUGCCAAGGAGUUUGGAGUCCCUAAAUCUUCACUGGGCGACAGAGUGAGUGGGCGGGUGACACCCGGGAGUCGCAGCGGCCCGGCUCAGCUCAUAACAUCUGCAGAUGAGGAGCUGCUGGUGGAGUUCUCCUUAUACAUGUCCAGGCAUGGAUUCCCACUUACAAAGCAACAGCUGGUGUCUUUUGCUUCAUCAAUUUAUAAGCGGCAGCACCGGAGGGUGGCCUUCUCCAAAUUAGGCCAGACCUGGUGGCUCAAUUUUAGAAAGCGGCAAGAAAAGAACAUUACAAUUCAGCCAGCGGAGAGUGUUGUCCGUGGGAGGACAGUGUGUGUGAGGAAAGAAGCGGUGGAUCAGUUUUUUCACUUAUUGAACACUGUCAUGAACACACAUGGGCUCAGGGACAAACCACAUCAAAUCUUCAACUGCAGUGAGACGAGCUUUCAGCUGGGCAGGAAGAGGGUGACUCUUCCCAAACCUGCCAAUCUGGGAUACAAGCCAGCGACAGGCUGCAGGGACCACAUCUCCGUCCUGGCGUGUUUUAGCGCAGCUGGAGAAGAUGUUCCCCCGUUCAUUAUCUACUCGAAGGCCUAUCCAGGGGGCGUGUGCUAUAAGACCCAGGGGCCACCCGGCGCCCUCUAUGGGUGGUCAGACUCAGGUUGUGUCAACUCCGAACUCUUCAAGAAGUGGUUUCUCAAGCACUUCCUUGUUCAUGCACCUAAGGAACGUCCGUUGCUGCUUAUUUUUGAUGGACACAAGUCGCCUGUGAAUCUGGAGGUGGUGGAAGCCGCCCGCAAGGAGGACGUCAUACUGUUGUGUCUUCCGCCUCAUUGCUCGCACAUCCUGCAGCCGCUGGAUGUGGGACUGUUCGUGCUCCUGAAGCAGCGUUUUGCAGCACUGAUAGGUGAUGGUUGUACCAGUGGUACUCACUUUGCAGUCAGCAAAAAGGAGUUCUCAGGUGUGUUUAAGGGCACAUAUCAGGUCGCAAAGGAAGAGGAGGGUGUCAGGACUGUAAAGGACGGCUUUAGGAACUGUGGUAUUUACCCACUGAACCACUUUGCAGUCAAUGAGGCUCAUUUAAUGCCAUCACACAGCAUGGAUCCAUCAGCUGGAUCCACUGUAGGAGACUUGACAGAGGCCGGACCCUCCUCCUAG